rnacentral:rRNA from 1 species
GACGGGGGCCCGCACAAGCGGAGGACAUGUGGUUUAAUUCGAUGAUACGCGGGGAACCUUACCUGGGCUUAAAUGGGGAGUGACAGCUGUCGAAAGAUGGUUUUCUUCGGACACUCUUCAAGGUGCUGCAUGGUUGUCGUCAGCUCGUGCCGUGAGGUGUCGGGUUAAGUCCCAUAACGAGCGCAACCCUUACCGUUAGUUACCAUCAGGUUAAGCUGGGGACUCUAGCGGGACUGCCACCGUAAGGUGAGAGGAAGGUGGGGAUGACGUCAAAUCAGCACGGCCCUUAUGUCCAGGGCUACACACGUGUUACAAUGGCCAGUACAAAGGGCAGCUACCGGGUGACCGGAUGCUAAUCUCUAAAGCUGGUCUCAGUUCGGAUCGAAGUCUGCAACCCGACUUCGUGAAGCUGGAUUCGCUAGUAAUCGCGCAUCAGCCAUGGCGCGGUGAAUACGUUCCCGGGCCUU